AGUGAGCGCUGGCGGUAGGCCUAACACAUGCAAGUCGAACGGCAGCACAGUAAGAGCUUGCUCUUACGGGUGGCGAGUGGCGGACGGGUGAGGAAUACAUCGGAAUCUACUUUUUCGUGGGGGAUAACGUAGGGAAACUUACGCUAAUACCGCAUACGACCUACGGGUGAAAGCAGGGGAUCUUCGGACCUUGCGCGAUUGAAUGAGCCGAUGUCGGAUUAGCUAGUUGGCGGGGUAAAGGCCCACCAAGGCGACGAUCCGUAGCUGGUCUGAGAGGAUGAACAGCCACACUGGAACUGAGACACGGUCCAGACUCCUACGGGAGGCAGCAGUGGGGAAUAUUGGACAAUGGGCGCAAGCCUGAUCCAGCCAUACCGCGUGGGUGAAGAAGGCCUUCGGGUUGUAAAGCCCUUUUGUUGGGAAAGAAAAGCAGCAGGUUAAUACCCCGCUGUUCUGACGGUACCCAAAGAAUAAGCACCGGCUAACUUCGUG
rnacentral:rRNA from 1 species